CAAACGGCCCUUUUCAGGGCCACCACAAAACAACUCAAUCAGCCCUU
rfam:Trachymyrmex cornetzi contig42040, whole genome shotgun sequence.